AAUGAACGCUGGCGGCAGGCCUAACCCAUGCAAGUCGAACGAGUGGCGGACGGGAGGGAAAUGUCUGGGAAACUGCCUGAUGGAGGGGGAUAACUACUGAAAACGGUAGCUACUACCGCAUAACAUCGAUUGUGCCAAGACGGGAUUAGCUAGUAGGUGGGGUAAAGGGUACCCUAGGCGACGAUCCCUAGCUGGUCUGAGAGGAUGACCAGCCACACUGGAACUGAGACACGGUCCAGACUCCUACGGGAGGCAGCAGUGGGGAAUAUUGCACAAUGGGCGCAAGCCUGAUGCAGCCAUGCCGCGUGUAUGAAGAAGGCCUUCGGGUUGUAAAGUACUUUCAGCGGGGAGGCGUUACCCGCAGAAGAAGCACCGGCUAACUCCGUGCCAGCCGCCGCGGUAAUAC
rnacentral:rRNA from 1 species